rnacentral:tRNA from 1 species
GAAGGCAUAGCUCAAGUGGUAGAGUGAAUGCUUAGCAUGCAUGAGGUCCUGGGUUCAUUCUCCAGUACCUCCU